GAGGGUAUAGCUCAGUGGUAGAGGGCAUGCUAAACAUUCGUGAGGUCCUGGGUUCAAUCCCCAGUACCUCCU
rnacentral:tRNA from 1 species